GAUGAACGCUGGCGGCGUGCCUAAUACAUGCAAGUCGAGCGAACAGACGAGGAGCUUGCUCCUCUGACGUUAGCGGCGGACGGGUGAGUAACACGUGGAUAACCUACCUAUAAGACUGGGUUAACUUCGGGAAGCCGGAGCUAAUACCGGAUAAUAUAUUGAACCGCAUGGUUCAAUAGUGAAAGACGGUUUUGCUGUCACUUAUAGAUGGAUCCGCGCCGCAUUAGCUAGUUGGUAAGGUAACGGCUUACCAAGGCAACGAUGCGUAGCCGACCUGAGAGGGUGAUCGGCCACACUGGAACUGAGACACGGUCCAGACUCCUACGGGAGGCAGCAGUAGGGAAUCUUCCGCAAUGGGCGAAAGCUUGACGGAGCAACGCCGCGUGAGUGAUGAAGGUCUUCGGAUCGUAAAACUCUGUUAUUAGGGAAGAACAAAUGUGUAAGUAACUAUGCACGUCUUGACGGUACCUAAUCAGAAAGCCACGGCUAACUACGUG
rnacentral:rRNA from 1 species